AGGUUAAUGACAAUGUGGAGACAACAGGCAGAUCGUAAAGACGCCGUUAAUCCAUCCCUGGAGGCUCGAGCCGCGCCAUCCCUGGCGCGGACGCUUU
rnacentral:ncRNA from 1 species